UUUCGCAAUGCCCGAAAGGGUGACGAAGCGACGCCGCGUGCGGGAAGAAGGCCUUCGGGUUGUAAACCGCUGUCGGGAGUUAAGAAAUGCAAGGGUGUUAAUAGUAUCCUUGCUUGACUAAGGCUCCGGAGGAAGCCACGGCUAACUCUGUGCCAGCAGCCGCGGUAAUACAGAGGUGGCAAGCGUUGUUCGGAAUUAUUGGGCGUAAAGAGCACGUAGGCGGCUGUGUGAGUCGGUUGUGAAAGCCUUCCGCUCAACGGGAGAACGGCAUCCGAUACUGCAUAGCUUGAGUGCGGGAGGGGAGUGUGGAACUUCUGGUGGAGCGGUGAAAUGCGUAGAUAUCAGAAGGAACACCGGCGGCGAAGGCGACUCUCUGGCCCGUAACUGACGCUGAGUGUGCGAAAGCUAGGGGAGCAAACGGGAUUAGAUACCCCGGUAGUCCUAGCCGUAAACGAUGGGCACUAAGUAGAGGGGUUUUA
rnacentral:rRNA from 1 species